AAGCGAGACGCACCUGAGAUUAUGAAUCAUUAAAAAACAGAUCUUUGACUAACUGCACUUUGGUUUUCGUGGAUAUUCAACAUGACCACGUAUACAGAUAAAGGACCAAAGCCCUUGGGUGGCAAGUUUCUAUGUUUUGAUCACAUUAAAUUCUGGGUUGGAAAUGCAAAGCAGGCUGCCAGUUUUUAUUGCACUAGACUAGGUUUUGAACCUUAUGGCUAUCGUGGUUUAGAAACUGGUUCAAGACAAAUUGCAGGUCAUGUUGUGAAACAAAAUCAGAUUAUUUUUGUAUUUGAAUCAGCCUAUGAACCUGAUAACAAAGAGAUGGCAAGUCAUCUCUCCAGACACGGUGAUGGUGUCCGUGAUAUUGCCCUCAACGUUGAGGAUAUAGAGACCAUUGUAAAAAUCGCAAAAGAGAAAGGAGCAAAAGUAAUUAAAGAUAUAUGGGAAGAAAAGGACGAGAAUGGUACUGUAAAAUUAGCUACAAUAAAAACUUACGGAGAUACCUAUCAUACCCUCAUAGACAGAUCGAAGUACAAAGGAUUUUUCCUGCCAGGAUAUCAAAAACUAGAGAAAGAUACGCUUCUCAAGAAUUUACCAAAAGUUGGAUUAAAUUUUGUGGAUCAUAUUGUUGGUAAUCAACCUGACAAAGAAAUGGAACCCGUCGCAAAAUGGUAUGAACGAUGUUUACAGUUUCACCGAUUCUGGUCGGUAGAUGAUACUCAAUUGCAUACUGAAUAUUCUGCCCUACGGUCUAUCGUUAUGACAAAUUGGGAAGAGACAGUGAAAAUGCCUAUCAAUGAGCCUGCUCCUGGCAAAAAGCGAUCUCAAAUACAGGAAUAUGUUGAAUACUAUGGAGGAGCAGGAGUGCAACAUAUUGCUCUUAAUACAAAUGAUAUAAUCACAGCUAUACAAAAUCUACGAGCCAGAGGUGUAGAAUUCCUGAAUGUACCGGAUACUUAUUACGACAUGUUAAGAAAUCGUUUGAAGAACAGUGGUGUAAAAAUUUUAGAAGAUCUUAAUAUACUUCAGAAAUUGAAAAUUUUAAUUGACUACGAUGAGAAUGGAUAUCUUUUACAAAUAUUUACUAAAAACAUGCAAGAUCGACCGACUCUUUUCAUAGAAGUUAUUCAAAGGCACAAUCACAAUGGAUUUGGAGCUGGAAAUUUCCAAGCACUGUUUGAAGCUAUUGAAAUGGAACAAGCUAAACGCGGCAACUUAUAAAUUAUAACUAGAUAAUCACUUUAAGACUACAUAGAAUUAUGCAUAUUUAUUGCAUUUAAUAAUUUUAUGUAAUAAAUUUAAUGUUGAAAUGUUGUAUUUAGUGGCCAGCAUCUAUUUUACAAAAAUACAUACAGCAUAAAGAGAAAAUAUGUAAUAACACAAUUCGAAGCACGAUAGUCGACCAUCAAAAUCAAAGAUUACAUAACAUGUUAUUUCGGUAUAAUAUCGUAAUCAUGUAAUCAACAACAGGCAUAUUUAAAAGAAUGAGGAAAGCAAGGCAAUUAUUAAACUGUUUAUUUUUAAUGCU